rnacentral:tRNA from 1 species
GUAAAUAUAGCUUAAACAAAGCAUUAGAUUGUGAAUCUAAAGAUAGAGAUUAACCCCCUCUUAUUUACC